rnacentral:rRNA from 1 species
UACAUGCAAGUCGACGAAGCACCUCUCCCGAAGAUUGAAGCUGCUGCAGCUGAUUGAUUCAAUGAGGUGACUGAGUGGCGGACGGGUGAGUAACGCGUGGGUAACCUGCCUCAUACAGGGGGAUAACAGUUGGAAACGACUGCUAAUACCGCAUAAGCGCACAGUACCGCAUGGUACAGUGUGAAAAAACUCCGGUGGUAUGAGAUGGACCCGCGUCUGAUUAGCUAGUUGGAGGGGUAACGGCCCACCAAGGCGACGAUCAGUAGCCGACUUGAGAGAGUGAUCGGCCACAUUGGGACUGAGACACGGCCCAAACUCCUACGGGAGGCAGCAGUAGGGAAUAUUGCACAAUGGGGGAAACCCUGAUGACAGCGACGCCGCGUGAAGGAUGAAGUAUUUCGGUACGUAAAGCUCUAUCAGCAGGGAAGAUAAUGACGGUACCUGACUAAGAAGCCCCGGCUAACUACGUGCCAGCCGCCGC